UAAAACGUAGGAUCCGAGCGUUAUCCGAAUUCACUGGGCGUAAAGCGCGUGUAGGCGGUUCGGUAAGUUGGAUGUGAAAGCUCCCGGCUCAACUGGGAGAGGACGUUCAAAACUGUUGGACUAGAGGGCGGAAGAGGGAGGUGGAAUUCCCGGUGUAGUGGUGAAAUGCGUAGAUAUCGGGAGGAACACAGUGGCGAAGGCGGCCUCCUGGGCCGCACCUGACGCUCAGACGCGAAAGCUAGGGUAGCAAACGGGAUUAGAAACCCCGGUAGUCCUAGCCGUAAACGAUGUAGACUUGGUGUUGGUGGGGUAAAAGCCAUCAGUGCCGGAGCAAACGCGAUAAGUCUACCGCCUGGGGACUAC
rnacentral:rRNA from 1 species